UGGGGAAUAUUGGACAAUGGGGGCAACCCUGAUCCAGCCAUGCCGCGUGCGUGAAGAAGGCCCUAGGGUUGUAAAGCGCUUUCGGCGGGGAAGAUGAUGACGGUACCCGCAGAAGAAGCCCCGGCUAACUCCGUGCCAGCAGCCGCGGUAAUACGGAGGGGGCUAGCGUUGUUCGGAAUUACUGGGCGUAAAGGGCGCGUAGGCGGAUCUUCAAGUCAGGGGUGAAAGGCCUGGGCUCAACCUGGGAACUGCCUUUGAAACUGAAGAUCUAGAGUCCGAGAGAGGAUAGUGGAAUUCCCAGUGUAGAGGUGAAAUUCGUAGAUAUUGGGAAGAACACCAGUGGCGAAGGCGGCUAUCUGGCUCGGUACUGACGCUGAGGCGCGAAAGCGUGGGGAGCAAACAGGAUUAGAUACCCCCGUAGUCC
rnacentral:rRNA from 1 species